rnacentral:rRNA from 1 species
GAUGAACGCUAGCGGGAGGCUUAACACAUGCAAGUCGAGGGGCAUCACGAGGUAGCAAUACUUUGGUGGCGACCGGCGCACGGGUGAGUAACACGUAUGCAACCUUCCCUGUACAGGGGGAUAACCCGGAGAAAUUCGGACUAAUACCCCAUGAUGAUAUUUAUGGGCAUCCAUUAAUAUUUAAAGCUCUGGCGGUACAGGAUGGGCAUGCGCGACAUUAGCUAGUUGGUAAGGUAACGGCUUACCAAGGCCACGAUGUUUAGGGGACCUGAGAGGGUUGUCCCCCACACUGGUACUGAGACACGGACCAGACUCCUACGGGAGGCAGCAGUGAGGAAUAUUGGUCAAUGGGCGCAAGCCUGAACCAGCCAUCCCGCGUGAAGGAAGAAUGCGCUACGCGUUGUAAACUUCUUUUCCAGGGGGAGAAUAAUCCUGUCGUGACAGGACUUGACGGUACUCUGGGAAUAGCAUCGGCUAACUCCGUGCCAGCAGCCGCGGUAAUCACGG